rnacentral:rRNA from 1 species
AACGAACGCUGGCGGCAGGCUUAACACAUGCAAGUCGAGCGCCCCGCAAGGGGAGCGGCAGACGGGUGAGUAACGCGUGGGAAUCUACCUUUUGCUACGGAAUAACGCAGGGAAACUUGUGCUAAUACCGUAUGUGCCCUUCGGGGGAAAGAUUUAUCGGCAAAGGAUGAGCCCGCGUUGGAUUAGCUAGUUGGUGGGGUAAAAGCCUACCAAGGCGACGAUCCAUAGCUGGUCUGAGAGGAUGAUCAGCCACAUUGGGACUGAGGGACGGCCCAAACUCCUACGGGAGGCAGCAGUGGUGAAUAUUGUACAAUGGGCGCAAGCCUGAUCCAGCCAUGCCGCGUGAGUGAUGAAGGCCUUAGGGUUGUAAAGCUCUUUCACCGGUGAAGAUAAUGACGGUAACCGGAGAAGAAGCCCCGGCUAACUUCGUGCCAGCCGCCGCGGUAA